rnacentral:pre_miRNA from 1 species
UCAUUUCAGGUCUGAUCCAAAGCCCACUGAAGUCAGUGGGAGUCUUUCCAUUGACCUCAGUGGGCUUUGAAUCAAGUCCUUUGC